AUUGAACGCUGGCGGCAUGCCUAACACAUGCAAGUCGAACGGCAGCACGUUGUGUAGCAAUACACAUGGGUGGCGAGUGGCGGACGGGUGAGUAGAAAGUAGGGAUCUGCCUUGUAGAUUGGGAUAACUUGGGGAAACUCGAGCUAAUACCGGAUAAGCACUAAGGUGGAAAGCAUGGGACCGAAAGGCCAUGCGCUAUAAGAUGAACCUACGUCGGAUUAGCUAGUUGGUUAGGUAAAGGCUGACCAAGGCGAAGAUCCGUAGCUGGUCUGAGAGGAUGAUCAGCCACACUGGGACUGAGACACGGCCCAGACUCCUACGGGAGGCAGCAGUGGGGAAUAUUGGACAAUGGGGGAAAGCCUGACGCAGCGACGCCGCGUGGGUGAUGAAGGCC
rnacentral:rRNA from 1 species